rnacentral:rRNA from 1 species
CCUACGGGUGGCAGCAGUAGGGAAUCUUCCACAAUGGGCGAGAGCCUGAAGGAGCAACGCCGCGUGGGUGAAGAAGGUCUUCGGAUCGUAAAACCCUGUUGUUAGAGAAGAAAGUGCGUGAGAGUAACUGUUCACGUUUCGACGGUAUCAAAAAAGAAAGCCACAGCUAACUACGUGCCAGCAGCCGCGGUAAUACGUAGGUGGCAAGCGUUAUACGGAUUUAUUGGGCGUAAAGGGAACGCAGGCGGUCUGUUAAGUCUGAUGUGAAGGCCUUCGGCUUAACCGGAGUAGUGCAUUGGAGACUGGGAGACUUGAGUGCAGAAGAGGAGAGUGGAAUUCGAUGUGUAGCGGUGAAAUGCUUAGAUAUAUGGAAGAACACCAGUGGCGAAAGCGGCUCUCUGGUCUGUAACUGACGCUGAGGUUCGAAAGCGUGGGUAGCAAACAGGAUUAGAUACCCCGGUAGUC